rnacentral:rRNA from 1 species
GACGAACGCUGGCGGCGUGCUUAACACAUGCAAGUCGAACGGUAAGGCCCUUCGGGGUACACGAGUGGCGAACGGGUGAGUAACGCGUGAGUAACCUGCCCUUCACUCUGGGAUAACAGUUGGAAACGGCUGCUAAUACCGGAUAUUCAGCUCCUGUCGCAUGGUGGGGGUUGGAAAGUUUUGGUGGUGGAGGAUGGGCUCGCGUCCUAUCAGCUUGUUGGUGGGGUGAUGGCCUACCAAGGCGUCGACGGGUAGCCGGCCUGAGAGGGCGACCGGCCACAUUGGGACUGAGAUACGGCCCAAACUCCUACGGGAGGCAGCAGUGGGGAAUAUUGCACAAUGGGCAGAAGCCUGAUGCAGCAACGCCGCGUGCGGGAUGACGGCCUUCGGGUUGUAAACCGCUUUCAGCAGGGACGAAGCGCAAGUGACGGUACCUGCAGAAGAAGCACCGGCUAACUACGUG